rnacentral:hammerhead_ribozyme from 1 species
ACCUUGCUGACGAGUGCCAAAUAGUACAAAACCUGGGUCCAGGGU